rnacentral:lncRNA from 1 species
GGCGUGAGCUUCCAGAGCACCAUCAGGCUGAACGUGUCAUAUGCUCCAGAGAAUCUGACCGUCCACGUCUUCCGGGGAAAGAGCACAGUCCCGGAGAUCCUGGGCAACGGCACCUCCCUGCAUGUCCCAGAGGGUCAGUCCCUGCGCCUGGUCUGUGAUGCUCAUGGCAGCUCCCCCACCAGGCUGAGCUGGACCCGGGGGAACCUGACCCUGAGC